rnacentral:rRNA from 1 species
CGGCGGGGUGCCUAAUACAUGCAAGUCGAACGAACUCUGGUAUUGAUUGGUGCUUGCAUCAUGAUUUACAUUUGAGUGAGUGGCGAACUGGUGAGUAACACGUGGGAAACCUGCCCAGAAGCGGGGGAUAACACCUGGAAACAGAUGCUAAUACCGCAUAACAACUUGGACCGCAUGGUCCGAGCUUGAAAGAUGGCUUCGGCUAUCACUUUUGGAUGGUCCCGCGGCGUAUUAGCUAGAUGGUGGGGUAACGGCUCACCAUGGCAAUGAUACGUAGCCGACCUGAGAGGGUAAUCGGCCACAUUGGGACUGAGACACGGCCCAAACUCCUACGGGAGGCAGCAGUAGGGAAUCUUCCACAAUGGACGAAAGUCUGAUGGAGCAACGCCGCGUGAGUGAAGAAGGGUUUCGGCUCGUAAAACUCUGUUGUUAAAGAAGAACAUAUCUGAGAGUAACUGUUCAGGUAUUGACGGUAUUUAACCAGAAAGCCACGGCUAACUACGUGCCAGCAGCCGCGGUAAUACGUAGGUGGCAAGCGUUGUCCGGAUUUAUUGGGCGUAAAGCGAGCGCAGGCGGUUUUUUAAGUCUGAUGUGAAAGCCUUCGGCUCAACCGAAGAAGUGCAUCGGAAACUGGGAAACUUGAGUGCAGAAGAGGACAGUGGAACUCCAUGUGUAGCGGUGAAAUGCGUAGAUAUAUGGAAGAACACCAGUGGCGAAGGCGGCUGUCUGGUCUGUAACUGACGCUGAGGCUCGAAAGUAUGGGUAGCAAACAGGAUUAGAUACCCUGGUAGUCCAUACCGUAAACGAUGAAUGCUAAGUGUUGGAGGGUUUCCGCCCUUCAGUGCUGCAGCUAACGCAUUAAGCAUUCCGCCUGGGGAGUACGGCCGCAAGGCUGAAACUCAAAGGAAUUGACGUGGGGCCCGCACAAGCGGUGAAGCAUGUGGUUUAAUUUCGAAGCUACGCGAAGAACCGUUACCAGGUCUUGACAUACUAUUGCUAG